rnacentral:rRNA from 1 species
AGUGCGAUAAGGGGACUCCGAGUGCGAGGGCAUAUAGUCCUCGCUUUUCUGUACCGUAGGAAGGUACAGGAAUAAGGGCUGGGCAAGACCGGUGCCAGCCGCCGCGGUAAUACCGGCAGCCCGAGUGAUGACCGAUUUUAUUGGGCCUAAAGCGUCCGUAGCUGGCCAAGCAAGUCUGUCGGGAAAUCCACUCGCUCAACGAGUGGGCGUCCGGCGGAAACUCCUUGGCUUGGGACCGGAAGGCUCGAGGGGUACGUCUGGGGUAGGAGUGAAAUCCUGUAAUCCUGGACGGACCACCGAUGGCGAAAGCACCUCGGGAGGACGGAUCCGACAGUGAGGGACGAAAGCUAGGGUCUCGAACCGGAUUAGAUACCCGGGUAGUCCUAGCCGUAAACGAUGUCUGUUAGGUGUGGCACAGGCUACGAGCCUGUGCUGUGCCGUAGGGAAGCCGAGAAGCGAACCGCCUG